UAACAAUGAUUCCCCUAGUAACUGCGAGUGAAGAGGGACAAGCUCAAAUUUUAAAUCCACGGGUUUCUGAUCGAGUUGUAAUUUGAAGAACGUUUCUGCGUAUUGUAGCCUAAGUCCUAUUGAAUGAGGCAUCACGGAGGGUGAUAAUCCCGUCCGGUUGAUCAUUCGUUUUACGAUACGCUUCUAAGAGUCAAGUUGUUUGGGAUUGCAGCUUAAAUGGGAGGUAAAUUUCUCCUAAGGCUAAUAACGGCGAGAGACCGAUAGCGAACAAGUACCGUGAGGGAAAGAUGAAAGAACUUUGAAAGAGAGUUAAACAGUACGUGAAAUUGUUGAAAGGGAAACGAUUGAAG
rnacentral:rRNA from 1 species